rnacentral:rRNA from 1 species
UACGUAGGGGGGCAAGCGUUUGUCCGGAUUUAUUGGGCGUAAAGAGCUCGUAGGUGGUUCGGUAAGUCGGAUGUGAAAUCUCCAGGCUCAACCUGGAGGGGUCAUUCGAUACUGCCGUGACUAGAGGUCGGUAGGGGAGUGUGGAAUUCCUGGUGGAGCGGUGAAAUGCGCAGAUAUCAGGAGGAACACCAAUGGCGAAGGCAGCACUCUGGGACGUGACUGACGCUGAGACGCGAAAGCGUGGGGAGCAAACAGG